UACGGCCAAAUAGCGUUGAAACAACGGUUCCUGUUUGAUCACUGAAGUUAAGCUGCAUCGAGCUUGGUUUGUACCAAGAUGGGUGACCACUUGGGAAUAACAGGUGCUGUAAG